rnacentral:rRNA from 1 species
CCCUUAGAUGUUCUGGGCUGCACGCGCGCUACACUGAAGCGUUCAACGAGUAUUCACCUUGCCCGGGAGGGUUGGGUAAUCUUUUGAAAACGCUUCGUGAUGGGGAUAGAUUAUUGCAAUUAUUAAUCUUCAACGAGGAAUUCCUAGUAAGCGCGAGUCAUCAGCUCGUGCUGAUUACGUCCCUGCCCUUUGUACACACCGCCCGUCGCUGCCCGGGACUGAGCCGUUUCGAGAAAAGCGGGGACUGCUGCUGUCGGGGCUUUCGGGCCUUGGCUUCGGUGGAAACCGCUUUAAUCGCAGUGGCUUGAACCGGGCAAAAGUCGUAACA